rnacentral:rRNA from 6 species
CUAUGUGCGGAAGGGAUAAGUGCUGAAAGCAUCUAAGCAUGAAGCCCCCCUCAAGAUGAGAUUUCCCAUAGCGUAAGCUAGUAAGAUCCCUGAAAGAUGAUCAGGUUGAUAGGUUCGAGGUGGAAGCGUGGUGACAUGUGGAGCUGACGAAUACUAAUAGAUCGAGGACUUAACCAUAUAA